GCAAGUCUCAUUGUUAAUCAUUUAGUAUUCCUAUCUAUGUCAAAAGUAGUUUUCUACUUCACUAUUUCACUAUUGAAGCAAAAGAAAGUAAAGAUCAUAUAAUAUACUAUAUUUCUGUGAUAACUUUAUACAAAAUAUAAAUUAGCUAGAAGCAUAUCCAACUUCAACAAGAUUAGGCUAUUUCUACAACUGACCUGCUGCUAUAGCGACCUAGAGAUUGGUUCAUCCUGUUUUCGAACAAAGCGUCUAGCCCAAACAUCUUUGCCAUUAAUUCUGAAUUUCAAUAUAUCCUUCCCCCCUAGAAUUUUUUCCAUUGCUGAGACAGACUUAAGGACUACACGAGCAAACAGUGGCUGUGGUUGAAUUCUCAUAUGGAUAGCUUCUACACAAUUACCAAAUUUCCUUGUCAUUAGAUCUCUAAGUUCUGUUUUUGAGGUGGGAUGGCCUUUAGAGAAGGUAACAAAUAAAGUUCGAUCAUUAUGGCAAACACUAGUCACUGUGUCUUCUUGGCUAGCUACCAUCUGUGAAUGGCAUCCAUUUACUUUACAGUGAGGAUUUUUGGGUACUUGAGAUUCUUCUCCAUGAGGCAUCGUAGGUUGAACUUGAAACCCAUUAACGAAAUUUGUGGGGAAUAUAUCAGCAAAUACCCCACAAGUAUCCUUCAAAAAUCUUUCUAUUCUUAGUACAGCUCUUUCUCUA
rnacentral:misc_RNA from 1 species